rnacentral:rRNA from 1 species
UACGUAGGGUGCAAGCGUUGUCCGGAAUUAUUGGGCGUAAAGAGCUCGUAGGCGGUUCGUCGCGUCGGCUGUGAAAACCCGGAGCUCAACUCCGGGCCUGCAGUCGAUACGGGCGGACUCGAGUUCGGCAGGGGAGACGUGGAAUUCCUGGUGUAGCGGUGGAAAAUGCGCAGAUAUCAGGAGGAACACCGGUGGCGAAGGCGGGUCUCUGGGCCGAUACUGACGCUGAGGAGCGAAAGCGUGGGGAGCGAACAGG